rnacentral:rRNA from 1 species
UACGGAGGAUGCAAGCGUUAUCCGGAAUCAUUGGGCGUAAAGCGUCCGCAGGUGGUUUUUCAAGUCUGCUGUUAAAGACAGAAGCUCAACUUCUGAGCGGCAGUGGAAACUGGGGAACUAGAGUACGGUAGGGGUUGAGGGAAUUCCCAGUGUAGCGGUGAAAUGCGUAGAUAUUGGGAAGAACACCAGUGGCGAAGGCGCUCAACUGGGCCGUAACUGACACUCAGGGACGAAAGCUAGGGUAGCCAAAGGG